GAAUAGGGCGUUUAGUAUUUGGUCGUAGACCCGAAACCAGGUGAUCUACCCUUGGUCAGGUUGAAGUUCAGGUAACACUGAAUGGAGGACCGAACCGACUUACGUUGAAAAGUGAGCGGAUGAACUGAGGGUAGCGGAGAAAUUCCAAUCGAACCUGGAGAUAGCUGGUUCUCUCCGAAAUAGCUUUAGGGCUAGCCUCAAGUGAUGAUUAUUGGAGGUAGAGCACUGUUUGGACGAGGGGCCCCUCUCGGGUUACCGAAUUCAGACAAACUCCGAAUGCCAAUUAAUUUAACUUGGGAGUCAGAACAUGGGUGAUAAGGUCCGUGUUCGAAAGGGAAACAGCCCAGACCACCAGCUAAGGUCCCAAAAUAUAUGUUAAGUGGAAAAGGAUGUGGCGUUGCCCAGACAACUAGGAUGUUGGCUUAGAAGCAGCCAUCAUUUAAAGAGUGCGUAAUAGCUCACUAGUCGAGUGACACUGCGCCGAAAAUGUACCGGGGCUAAACAUAUUACCGAAGCUGUGGAUUGUCCUUUGGACAAUGGUAGGAGAGCGUUCUAAGGGCGUUGAAGCAUGAUCGUAAGGACAUGUGGAGAGCUUAGAAGUGAGAAUGCCGGUGUGAGUAGCGAAAGACGGGUGAGAAUCCCGUCCACCGAUUGACUAAGGUUUCCAGAGGAAGGCUCGUCCGCUCUGGGUUAGUCGGGUCCUAAGCUGAGGCCGACAGGCGUAGGCGAUGGAUAACAGGUUGAUAUUCCUGUACCACCUAUAAUCGUUUUAAUCGAUGGGGGGACGCAGUAGGAUAGGCGAAGCGUGCGAUUGGAUUGCACGUCUAAGCAGUAAGGCUGAGUAUUAGGCAAAUCCGGUACUCGUUAAGGCUGAGCUGUGAUGGGGAGAAGACAUUGUGUCUUCGAGUCGUUGAUUUCACACUGCCGAGAAAAGCCUCUAGAUAGAAAAUAGGUGCCCGUACCGCAAACCGACACAGGUAGUCAAGAUGAGAAUUCUAAGGUGAGCGAGCGAACUCUCGUUAAGGAACUCGGCAAAAUGACCCCGUAACUUCGGGAGAAGGGGUGCUCUUUAGGGUUAACGCCCAGAAGAGCCGCAGUGAAUAGGCCCAAGCGACUGUUUAUCAAAAACACAGGUCUCUGCUAAACCGUAAGGUGAUGUAUAGGGGCUGACGCCUGCCCGGUGCUGGAAGGUUAAGAGGAGUGGUUAGCUUCUGCGAAGCUACGAAUCGAAGCCCCAGUAAACGGCGGCCGUAACUAUAACGGUCCUAAGGUAGCGAAAUUCCUUGUCGGGUAAGUUCCGACCCGCACGAAAGGCGUAACGAUUUGGGCACUGUCUCAACGAGAGACUCGGUGAAAUCAUAGUACCUGUGAAGAUGCAGGUUACCCGCGACAGGACGGAAAGACCCCGUGGAGCUUUACUGUAGCCUGAUAUUGAAAUUCGGCACAGCUUGUACAGGAUAGGUAGGAGCCUUUGAAACGUGAGCGCUAGCUUACGUGGAGGCGCUGGUGGGAUACUACCCUAGCUGUGUUGGCUUUCUAACCCGCACCACUUAUCGUGGUGGGAGACAGUGUCAGGCGGGCAGUUUGACUGGGGCGGUCGCCUCCUAAAAGGUAACGGAGGCGCUCAAAGGUUCCCUCAGAAUGGUUGGAAAUCAUUCAUAGAGUGUAAAGGCAUAAGGGAGCUUGACUGCGAGACCUACAAGUCGAGCAGGGUCG
rnacentral:rRNA from 1 species